rnacentral:rRNA from 1 species
GAUGAACGCUGGCGGCGUGCCUAAUACAUGCAAGUCGAGCGAACAGACGAGGAGCUUGCUCCUUUGACGUUAGCGGCGGACGGGUGAGUAACACGUGGGUAACCUACCUAUAAGACUGGGAUAACUUCGGGAAACCGGAGCUAAUACCGGAUAAUAUUUCGAACCGCAUGGUUCGAUAGUGAAAGAUGGCUUUGCUAUCACUUAUAGAUGGACCUGCGCCGUAUUAGCUAGUUGGUAAGGUAACGGCUUACCAAGGCAACGAUACGUAGCCGACCUAAGAGGGUGAUCGGCCACACUGGAACUGAGACACGGUCCAGACUCCUACGGGAGGCAGCAGUAGGGAAUCUUCCGCAAUGGGCGAAAGCCUGACGGAGCAACGCCGCGUGAGUGAUGAAGGUCUUCGGAUCGUAAAACUCUGUUAUUAGGGAAGAACAAACGUGUAAGUAACUGUGCACGUCUUGACGGUACCUAAUCAGAAAGCCACGGCUAACUACGU